rnacentral:lncRNA from 1 species
AUUAACUCCAGAUCACACAAGCUGCUACUUUCAGUCUGCAUAAGAUAAAAGGUGUGACAAGCAGACCUGAGGUUGCCAUGGAGACCGAAAUCUUUCCCAGUGCCAUGGUAACUGACUCCAGGAUGUGCUAUGAAAAGCUCACUGCAUACCCUAGUUGAGCAUUUUCGUAUUUUUAAACCAAUUAACUGAGAGUUCAGUUAAAUUAGUUUCUGUUUAAAGAAAGGCGCUGUCAAAAUGGAAGAUACAUUUGUUGGGAUCUUGUGCUUAGCAAAACAGAAGAAAACAAAACCCUAGGGAUAUUAUUAAGGCUCUGACAUCACGAGAAGUUUUGAAUGGACAAGAAAUAGGCUUCAAAAGGAGAAAAAAAAUGUUUCACUGAAGCGUUUAAAAUAAACAUCAGAAAUCUGUGACAGCAGCUGGACAUGAUACAGCAGGCAUCAGCUGCACAUGUACCCAGCACAUGCAUCACAAACAUACGCUCCUUAACCUGGAGCUCUCUGCACGUGAGGCUGCUACUGCUGAACCUGGAGCUCACACACACAUGGAGCGAAGGUGCCGUUGCUUCAGCAAAAGCUUCAGCGAGAAAUGUCUCUGGGAUGCAGGAGUCAGUACUGCACAGCUGCUCCAGCCUGCCAGCAAGUUUCAUGAGAGGGGCCAGGUAGAAGGUUACUGAUCCUCCAAGUUUUAAUAAAUAUGAAAACUGUCAUUGCUAAUAAACA